UACCAGGAAGUCAAACAAGAGAACCCGCUAAAUUUAA
rnacentral:rRNA from 1 species